AUACUCUGGUUUCUCUUCAAAUCGUAUGAAUCUUUUCACCUCUUACUAAAGAUUUCUGUGGAGAGGAACAACUCUGAGUCUUAAGCCAAGUUUUUGAGGCCUUCUUUUAACAGGGCC
rnacentral:snRNA from 1 species